UGGGGAAUAUUGCACAAUGGGCGCAAGCCUGAUGCAGCGACGCCGCGUGGAGGAAGAAGGUCUUCGGAUUGUAAACUCCUGUUGAGUGGGAAGAAAGACGGCUGGUUAAUACCCAGUUGGGAUGACGGUACCACUCGAGGAAGCACCGGCAAACUUCGUGCCAGCAGCCGCGGUAAUACGAAGGGUGCGAGCGUUAUUCGGAGUUAUUGGGCGUAAAGGGCGCGUAGGCGGUCCACUAAGUCAGCUGUUAAAGACCUCGGCUUAACCGAGGAAAAGCAGGUGGUACUGGAGGGCUAGAGGACAGAAGAGAGAAGUGGAAUUCUCGGAGUAGCGGUAAAAUGCGUAGAUCUCGAGAGGAACACCGAUGGCGAAGGCAGCUUCUUGGUCUGUAACUGACGCU
rnacentral:rRNA from 1 species